rnacentral:tRNA from 3 species
GCGCCUGUAGCUCAGCUGGAUAGAGCAACGGACUUCUAAUCCGUAGGUCGCAGGUCCGAAUCCUGCCAGGCGUACCA